UACGGGGGGAGCAAGCGUUGUUCGGAUUUACUGGGCGUAAAGGGCGCGUAGGCGGUCGUGACAAGUCACUUGUGAAAUCUCCGGGCCUAACUCGGAACGGUCAAGUGAUACUGUCGGACUAGAGUACAGAAGGGGCAACUGGAAUUCUCGGUGUAGCGGUGAAAUGCGUAGAUAUCUGGAGGAACACCGGUGGCGAAGGCGGCAUCCUGGACCAAUAUUGACGCUGAGGAGCGAAAGCUAGGGGAGCAAACGGG
rnacentral:rRNA from 1 species